rnacentral:lncRNA from 1 species
CUUUGGUGUGUCCACUUCUUUAAAGUGUUUUCUGUAGGCAGUUUUAAUAAGUAAUAUUUUAUAAUGUGAACUGCAAGCUCUUUAAUGAGUGUGAGCUGGUGAGCAAGUUUGGUGCUGAAAUGUGUAACAGUGACACUCUUACCCUGGCGUGGAGCCACCAGGAACAAAUCCUGGACAGGUUUUGCUGAGCCUUAGUUACCUUCCAAGGGGCAGUAGCCAGAAGAAGGUUCGUUUUUAUGGGUUUAUAUGAAAAGAUCUGUUUUUAUCAUCCAUCAAGUUUUAGAGUCUCACACCUUUCUUUUACUUUUUAAUUUUUUUUUUCUUGAAGGCUCACAAGGUCCCUGCUCCAGGCUAGAGCAGCCAGUGGAAGCACCAACACCAGUAUCACAAAGAGAUGAUGGAGUCAAAAUGACUGCUUUGGUUGGAGCUGGAUUUUUCUCUGAAGUCUGUAGAAGCUUGUUACCAUGUUAAAUGCCCAGCUUUCAUUAAAUCCACACCUGAAGGAUGAAGAAGAUUAUUUCUAGCAGUGGCAAAAAUAUUAGCAUUGUCCUCCAGUGCCCAGAAACCAUAUCACUGCAAAUGGUAAAUUAAGUUUAGUCAUGUGGUAUGAUCUCCAGCUCCCUGAGUCUCUCACCAAAGUGAGUGAGGCUGAAAUUCCCUUAUGUUAUAUCUCUCUGUUAUAAGCUGUGGUAUUGUCUCUUUGCUACAGAAGUUUUGAUUUCAUUCUCUAACACUACUUCUUCCUUGUCUUUUAGGUUUGUUGUCCUUCUAAUCAUGUGAAUUUUCAGCCCACCCAACACUUUUCUGAGGUACCUGGUACUUGCAUCUUUUGCUUCAGCAUCCUAGAAAUUCAAGGAUCUUCCUGACUUCUAUAUUAUGGGAGUUAUUGCACUCAAAUAAACUGCAAUUCUAAGGAAUAAUCA